rnacentral:rRNA from 1 species
UACGGAGGGUGCAAGCGUUUAUCCGGAUUCACUGGGUUUAAAGGGUGCGUAGGCGGACAGGAAAGUCCGUGGUGAAAUCCUGCAGCUUAACUGCAGAACUGCCGUGGAUACUCUCUGUCUUGAAUAUCGUGGAGGUGAGCGGAAUAUGUCAUGUAGCGGUGAAAUGCAUAGAGAUGACAUAGAACACCGAUUGCGAAGGCAGCUCACUACGCGAAGAUUGACGCUGAGGCACGAAGCGUGGGGAUCAAACAGG